AUGAUCUGGGUCCGUGUAGGGGACAGUUCGGAUGCAUUCGCCCACAUAAUUCACCAGGAAGGGCAUCAGGAAGUGAGUCUUCAUCUGCCAGGGCUUGAAGCUCCCUGUGAUUUUAGAGUUGUGGCCAUCUUCCAUCCAUCGGUGAAUGUUACGUUUAUAGAAACUACUCAAAGGCAGACGGUGGUUCUUAGACCAAGGCGCCUGGGGAAGCCUUUCCGAUGCAUAGGCAUCAGGUCCCCGAGUGAAAUGUCUGCCAUCCGCCCUCCACGAGGACCCAAGCUCAGCGGGGAGAAAAACAGCAGAGAAAUGCAUCCGCGGCCUUCCCACCCACACACCAGUCCGGGCUGCAGCGCCCUCUCCUGGGACUCUGCAAAGCCUCUGCCUGGGCCUCAGCUCCCACCCCGGCACCCUGCAAUCUCUUCACACAGACUGGAGACCCAUCUAUAAAAACCAUUCAAAACCCUUUGCUCACUUCAAGUACACGUCAAGCCUUUCUUGGGAAUCCCUGGCCCUGCCUGCUUCUGACACCAGGUCCCGCUCUAGCUCCAGCCACCCCAGGUCCUCCUGGGACCUCUGGAUAUGCCGGUCGCUGUGUACAUCACAUUCAGGCACAGUGGUGGGCGGGUGGGAGGCCCCCCCCCCCCCAAAGGAAUCCCGGUACUAAUCCCUGGAACCUGGGAAUGUGCCCUCACGCGGUGAUAAAGGUGAAUCCUGAGGACUACCUAGGUGUGCCCUAAGUGCCGCCACUUGCAUCAGAAGAUGAGGGGUGCAGAGGCUGAAGGCCCUGGAGCAGGAUGCUGCACUCCCACAUGGGAGGCGGCGGCGGCUCCAGGGAACAAGGCAUGCGAGGCCCACAGCUCUCGGCCCCUGAAUGGGCCACGAGGGACUCUCCUGGAGCAAACACUCUGGUCUCAGCCCAUGGCUCCCGCCCUCCAGAGCUGUGGGAGAGCGAGUAUUAUUUUCCAGCCCCAGGUGUGUGGUCAGGGUCACAGCGGCCACGGGACACCCAGAGGGAAAUGUCAUUUCCUCAGGAAAACGCCGUCUGGUUUCUAGGACCAAAGUUCCCUCCGUCAGGGGCUCUUGGGGCACCCCAUGUCUCCUCUUCAUAGAAAUCACCCCGGUCUCUCUCCCUGCAGUCACCUCGUGGUUAUUUGACUUGCAGUUCUCACUAGGCUGCGAAUUCCAUGAGGGCAGGAACUGUGGGCUGGGCUUACAGCACUGCACCAUCAGCAGUACCCGGCUGAGCCCCCACAGCAGGCGCUCAAGAAAUGCUUGUCUCUGAAUGACAUAAGCACAGUAUUCCCCAGCCAGCCAGCCAUCUGUCCGUCCGUCCGUCCGUCUGUCCUGGUCAAUAAAUAAGCCCAGGCUUUUUUCUGUGCCCGGGACAUUGUUGCUAAUCGUGGCCGGCACCACACACGGGGGAUGCAAAGCUCCUGGUGGCGGCCUUGUGCCUCGGCCAUGUUGCACGCGCUCUUGUAAGCAUGAAGCAGCAGGGCCAAGUGGUUAGCAGGGGUGCCCGGUGCUCACCUGCCAGCCCCAGGGCCUGCAUUGAGGUCCAGGAAGGGACAGGAGGGGCCUGAGUCACCAGGGAAAGCCCGUUCAUUUGGGUCAAGGGGCCCAGGGAGCUCUGGAGGCUGUGCGGGAGCAGCACAGGCCUCAGUGACACAGGAGGCUGCCUGGGCACAGUCCAGGUCCUCAUGAAAGGGGAGGCCUGCAGGCAGCACAGCAGGGUGGGUGUGAGGCAAGCAGCAGAGCAGGUUGCAGGCAGUGGCGAGUUAGUCACGAGCGGGACAGCUCAGCUCUCGGCAUCUCAUUGUGGGUAAGGGAGGCCAGGGCGGUCAGGAAGUUUAAAGGCAAAGCCAGUCCUGUAG
rnacentral:lncRNA from 1 species